rnacentral:rRNA from 1 species
AUUGAACGCUGGCGGAAUGCUUUACACAUGCAAGUCGAACGGUAGAGGGGGCAACCCCUCGAGAGUGGCGAACGGGUGAGUAAUAUAUCGGAACGUGCCCAGUCGUGGGGGAUAACGUAGUGAAAAUUACGCUAAUACCGCAUACGAUCUAUGGAUGAAAGCGGGGGAUCGCAAGACCUCGCGCGAUUGGAGCGGACGAUAUCAGAUUAGGUAGUUGGUGGGGUAAAGGCCCACCAAGCCAACGAUCUGUAGCUGGUCUGAGAGGACGACCAGCCACACUGGAACUGAGACACGGUCCAGACUCCUACGGGAGGCAGCAGUGGGGAAUUUUGGACAAUGGGCGAAAGCCUGAUCCAGCCAUUCCGCGUGCAGGAUGAAGGCCCUCGGGUUGUAAACUGCUUUUGUACAGAACGAAAAGGUUUCUACUAAUACUAGGAGCUCAUGACGGUACUGUAAGAAUAAGCACUGGCUAACUACGUGCCAGCCGCCGCCGUAA